GAUGAACGCCGGCGGCGUGCCUAAUACAUGCAAGUCGAGCGAAUGGAUUGAGAGCUUGCUCUUAUGAAGUUAGCGGCGGACGGGUGAGUAACACGUGGGUAACCUGCCCAUAAGACUGGGAUAACUCCGGGAAACUGGGGCUAAUACCGGAUAACAUUUUGAACCGCAUGGUUCGAAAUUGAAAGGCGGCUUCGGCUGUCACUUAUGGAUGGACCCGCGUCGCAUUAGCUAGUUGGUGAGGUAACGGCUCACCAAGGCAACGAUGCGUAGCCGACCUGGGAGGGUGAUCGGCCACACUGGAACUGAGACACGGCCCAGGCUCCUACGGGAGGCAGCAGUAGGGAAUCUUCCGCAAUGGACGAAAGUCUGACGGAGCAACGCCGCGUGAGUGAUGAAGGCUUUCGGGUCGUAAAACUCUGUUGUUAGGGAAGAACAAGUGCUAGUUGAAUAAGCUGGCACCUUGACGGUACCUAACCAGAAAGCCACGGCUAACUACGUGCCAGCCGCCGCCGUAA
rnacentral:rRNA from 1 species